CCCUUAGAUGUUCUGGGCUGCACGCGCGCUACACUGAAGCGUUCAACGAGUAUUAACCUUGGCCGAUAGGUCUGGGUAAUCUUUGAACGCUGUUCGUGAUUGGGAUAGACCUUUGCAAUUAUGGGUCUUCAACGAGGAAUUCCUAGUAAACGCAAGUCAUCAGCUUGCAUUGAUUACGUCCCUGCCCUUUGUACACACCGCCCGUCGCACCUACCGAUUGAAUGGUCCGGUGAAAUCUCGGGACGGCGGCUUGGUCGCUUGCGUCCGACUGCUGAAACUUGAUUAAACCAUAUCAUUUAGAGGAAGGUGAAGUCGUAACA
rnacentral:rRNA from 1 species